UCCCCGAGGACCAGGAGGCGCUAGGGGAGGCGGAUUGUGGCGGAGCGGGGUGGAGUGGGGGGAGGGGGGUGGAGACGGCGAGGGGAGCGAGGUGAGGGGCGUGGGGCGGGGGACGCCGGCGGGGAGCGCUGGGCGCGCGCCACGUCGGCCUCGGCCUUCCCCGCCCCCGGGGCGCCCCGGACCACCGCCCGCCUUGGCGGGGAGCUUUGUUCUUUUCCCUCCAACUACCUGUCUGAGCGGCGGGCCGGCGGGCGCCCAAAGGAAGGGCCGUCACUCCCGGAGGGUCUCCUCGCCAGCGUCCGAAGGGCGCUCUGGGUUGCGAGAGGGGGCAGUGCCCGCGUCUGCCGCCCUCCCGCCCUCCUUUCCUCCCUCUUCCUCCUCCUCUUUUGUUGCCUCCACUCUCGGACACGACACAGCCUGGGCUGUUUCUCCCCCUCCCACUUGGGAGUUUGCGGUGUGGACGCACAGCGAGCACAGAUCCACUUGGGACCGUACCCGCACUUAAUCUCUCUGGCAUGAGGUUACGGAAUCAACUGCUGUGAUUGAACUUUGCUGCCUGUCCGCACGGUGGAGGCCCGGUGCCGCUCACCACAGCCCACUGUCCAGGAGGAUGAGAACAGCCUCCCCAUCGCUGCUUUCCUCCCUGUGGCCAGGGCCCUUUCAUUUCACUCUGCUGGAGAACCCCGCUAUCAAACUCGUCACUCUGCAGUCAAAUUCGAAAGUCUGUGAAAACGCAACCAAGAGAACAUCCUUCAGCCUGAAGGUUUGAGGUUCUCCCAGAAAGGACUCUCAAGCCAUUUUUUCAACAACAGAAGAAGGAACCUGUUUAUCCCAAGGUUGAACACAGGACAUAAAAUUCCUCCUUUCCUCAUGGCUUCAUACCCUGCCAGGAAGAAGCAACAUGACAGGAAAAAGUGUGACCAAAAAAAGCAAUAAACUAGGCAAUAGAUUUCGCAAAUAAAAACAUUGCAUGGGACAUAAACCUAAAAACGAUUUGUUGUUGAUCUGAAAUUCAGAUGUAACUGGGCCUCCUGUCUUAUCUGCAACUCCCAACACAACAUCCCUUGGUAGCCUCACAGAUGUUUCCAUGGUACAUGUGAAGGAGGAAAGAGCCUGAAAGAAAAUGUGAGCUGCAACAGUACAUUAAAAAGCCUCACUAGAUUUCCUCUGGAACAGGAGAGGCAGAAAAACAUCGAGCAGAGCCCGGAUGGAUCAAGAGCACUUGGAAGCGUAAGGGCAGUUUUUCCACAGCCAGGCCGCGCUUGGCCUGGGGUUUUCUCACAGUUCGAGGUUCCAAGGUUCCUGUUUCUAGCCCUUGAGCAUGGAACCCCGCCCUGCCAGAGGGACGGGCGCUUGCCUCCCCAUCUACUCCCCCGAGGCCCACAGGUGAACCUCUGAGACACAGAACUCAGCAGCACUUUCAAGAACUUCAGUUCGGAAACAGGGUAAACUCAUGCUAGCGUCAAGUUCAUGAUCAAGACUGUUUCUUGUGUUUCUGAAAGGUGUCAAAGAGUUCAAGCCCAAAAGCUUUCACUACACAGGAAAGGAAAUGAUGAAAAGUCUACAGAGCAUUCAAUAGAACCCAUCAGAUGGGGGACUCUCCCUCCGGCCGGGAUAGGUGGCCAUGUGGCAAGAGCAGCCUACACUCUGCCUUCAGCCUUGAUCAUUCUUAACAUUACAAAUCACCAGGCUCUUGAUUAGAAACCAACUGGGGUUGUUUUCUCUAAUAAGUGGUUUCAUUUUUGUACAUCCCAUUUUCCCCUACAGCCUGCAUUUUCUACCAUUUUCCAUGUACACUAUCAAAGCUAGAGUGUGUGUCUUAUAAAAUAAUUGAGGUCUGAGAUGAGAAACGGGUGUGUUGGCAGACCUGAGAGCAGAUCAAAGCUGAGCUAGGAAAGGGCUUUGCAGAGGGGGCUCCAUCCGUGGAAUAGUCCAGGACAGCCAACGGCUAAAUUUGCCCUACGUUCCCCAAAGUUACCCUAAAUGUCCACACUCGGGUCGCUCCUCUUAUUUUGUACCAUCUACAAGCACUAUGGAGAGACGGACUUGUCCUACUGAGAACUAAUAGGAACUCACAUGUCUGAUCUCCUUUCAGAAUUAAUUGUGAUGUGAGCUGCUGCAAGUACCCAGCAGGAAAGAAGAAACACAGACAAGGAAGUGGUUUUCAAAAAUAAAGAAAUGUUAGAGUCCAAGAUUGGUGCUCGGGUGACACGUCUCUGAUUCAUACACAAAGCAUUUUCUGAAACACUGCUUGUGUGCCCAGCUCUUGGAUUCCUGCGUUUAUUCAUUUAACAGAGGCCGGGAAAACAGAUAGGCAUCGCAUCCUGCUUUGCAGCUCUGAGUGGCUGUGUGGCCCAGUUCUGCCCUACAUCAUUUAAGCAGAAGUCUACAAAGGAUGGUUCGUGAGGAAACUUUUAACGUUAUUGAUGAAAAGGCACCUACAAGCCUAGGGAUAAUAUCCAACUUGCUCAGGGCAGUAGAACACAAAGAAAAGCCUGAGUCCUUGGUGCAUCUCUGAGCCAAUGCCCUGUUCCUGCCCUGCCGAUUUCUUGUAUGUGAGAAACAAAAACCCCUGAUAUGAUUAAGCCAUUAUUGGUUGGGUGUUUUUUAACGUGCAUCCAUAUGCAUUCCUU